rnacentral:lncRNA from 1 species
GGAAUGUAAAGACAAUCUUUGGUUUUUCCAAUUUCUUUGGUAGUUCAUAUGAGGAAGUAAGUACUAUCUGCUUUUGCAGAGAUCUUUAUUUUAUUCACGUUCCGAAUGUGAAGCACCUUUUUCUUCUCUCAUAUAUCUUCUACUUCUUAUUAGUCACACUUUUACAACGAUUGUAAAACAUAGUUACUAAUACGGAAUCAAGCAUUCAAGUAGGAGAACCAACUGUUUUGAACUUUUCAAGAACAAUUUACAACACCUUCGAAAGGUGUGUUCUUGACACUUGCAAGACAUUUCUUGCAAAUACCCCUUCCAAUGUCCAUCCUUUCAUAAAGAAAGAUUGUUCCCUUGGAGUUAAUUUUAUUUUCUUUAUUUGACUUCUCCUUUGACUACAAUAGUCAUGGUCCCUAAACUCCCACUAUCUCUCUUGAAACUUA